rnacentral:tRNA from 1 species
GCCGGCGUAGCUCAGUUGGUAGAGCGCCUCACUUGUAAUGAGGAUGUCGCGGGUUCGACUCCUGUCGCCGGCUCCA